AGCAGCCGCGGUAAUUCCAGCUCCAAUAGCGUAUAUUAAAGUUGUUGCAGUUAAAAGCUCGUAGUUGAAUUUCGGGAUCAGUUCGUUGGUCGUGCCUUUGGUAUGUACUGGUGUUACUGGUUCCUCCCUUCUGACGAACCGUCAUGUCAUUAAUUUGGUGUGGCGGGAAAUCAGGACUGUUACUUUGAAAAAUUAGAGUGUUUAAAGCAGGCUCGCGCUUGAAUACAUUAGCAUGGAAUAAUGAAAUAGGACGUUCGAUCCUAUUUUGUUGGUUUCUAGGAUUGACGUAAUGAUUAAUAGGGAUAGUUGGGGGCAUUAGUAUUCAAUUGUCAGAGGUGAAAUUCUUGGAUUUAUUGAAGACUAACUACUGCGAAAGCAUUUGCCAAGGAUGUUUUCAUUAAUCAAGAACGAAAGUUAGGGAUCGAAGACGAUCAGAUACCGUCGUAGUCUUAACCAUAAACUAUGCCGACUAGGGAUCG
rnacentral:misc_RNA from 1 species